rnacentral:rRNA from 1 species
GACGAACGCUGGCGGCGUGCCUAAUACAUGCAAGUAGAACGCUGAAGGAGGAGCUUGCUUCUCCGGAUGAGUUGCGAACGGGUGAGUAACGCGUAGGUAACCUGCCUGGUAGCGGGGGAUAACUAUUGGAAACGAUAGCUAAUACCGCAUAACAGUAGAUGUUGCAUGACAUUUGCUUAAAAGGUGCAAUUGCAUCACUACCAGAUGGACCUGCGUUGUAUUAGCUAGUUGGUGAGGUAACGGCUCACCAAGGCGACGAUACAUAGCCGACCUGAGAGGGUGAUCGGCCACACUGGGACUGAGACACGGCCCAGACUCCUACGGGAGGCAGCAGUAGGGAAUCUUCGGCAAUGGACGGAAGCCUGACCGAGCAACGCCGCGUGAGUGAAGAAGGUUUUCGGAUCGUAAAGCUCUGUUGUAAGAGAAGAACGAGUGUGAGAGUGGAAAGUUCACACUGUGACGGUAUCUUACCAGAAAGGGACGGCUAACUACGUG